rnacentral:misc_RNA from 1 species
CUUGGACCUCAUCAACUGCCUGAUUUUCUCCCACUGGUCAAUUGUUGGAUCAACGCCAGUUGGGUUAUGAGCACAAGCAUGGAGAAGAACUAUUGCACCAACGGGUGCAGCAGUAAGAUCAUCCAAUAAUCCUUGAAAAUCCAGGCCUCGCGUUGCUGGGUCAUAGUAACGAUAAUAUUUUACUGAAAGCCCAGCUAAAGUGAAAAUCUUAGGAUGGUUUCCCCAUGUUGGCUGUGGUAUAUAUAUAGUAUGUUCAUGAUAAUGCCUGGCCAGAAACUCAGCACCAACCCUCAGAGAACCAGUGCCCGACAAACACUGAACAGUGGUCACCCUAUUCUCUUUAAUGGCAGGGCUGUCAGCACCAAAUAUGAGCUUGGCACUCAAUUUGUUAAAAUCGGCUAUUCCAGUAAUUGAGAGAUAUUCCUUCACACGAGACGUGUCAUUGACAAGCAUUUGUUCAGCUCGUCUCACCACAUUAGGAACAAGAGGUUUUCCUUCCUCAGUUCGAUAUGCGCCAACACCCAAAUUCACUUUGACUGGGCUGCUAUCAUUGUUAUAAGCAACUGUUACCCCUAAGAUGGGAUCUUCAGGAGCACGAACAACAUGAGCAAAAACAGAAUCUGCCAUUAGAGUUGGAAUUUUAGAGUACAAGUUCAACGGUGUUAUGGAGGUGAGUUCAGUACACCUUCCUCCUUUAAUUAAUGAAUAAAAAGUAAGUAUUGUUCGCUUCUUUGGGAACUGCGUGGAAUACGCCACCUGUAUCUCUAUGACACAGUGGGCGG